rnacentral:rRNA from 1 species
GACGAACGCUGGCGGCGUGCCUAACACAUGCAAGUCGAGCGGGGUUGAGGCGAGAGGUAACUCGAGCUUCUACCUAGCGGCGGACGGGUGAGUAACGCGUGGGCAACCUGCCUCAAGGUUUGGGAUAACAGCCCGAAAGGGCUGCUAAUACCGGAUAUGCCUAUGGCCUCGCAUGGGGCUAUGAGCAAAGGGGAAACCCGCCUUGAGAUGGGCCCGCGUCCCAUCAGCUAGUUGGUGAGGUAACAGCUCACCAAGGCGACGACGGGUAGCCGGCCUGAGAGGGUGACCGGCCACACUGGGACUGAGACACGGCCCAGACUCCUACGGGGGGCAGCAGUGGGGGAUCUUGCACAAUGGGCGAAAGCCUGAUGCAGCGACGCCGCGUGAGCGAAGAAGGCCUUCGGUUGUAAAGCUCUGUCUGGAGGGACGGAACAAAAUGACGGUACCUCCGGAGGAAGCCACGGCUAACUAACGUG